GUUCGGGGGGGAAGUGUGGAGAGACAAAGACGGGCAGGGCAACAUCUCAGAUAAGAGAAAAUGUUCAUCUUCCUGCCCGAGCACUUACAGCUGUCAUCACACCGACUCUGAAGAACAGAGGAAGCUGCUGUAGUCGUCCUCACAGUGGAGGUCAUCCUGAGAGGACCUCAUCAUCAUCAUCAUCAAACUCUCACUCAGUUUGCAUUGAAUGACUUUCUUUAAUAGCCGCCGUUGUUCUGUAAAUUACUAGAGUACA